GUUUUUCAUGGCAUGUGACAAUCUCGCUUCUUUAUUAAUUAUUUUGUAUCCUCUGCUGCACUACAAGCUGAGGAAGGAGAGAGAGUCUCUAUGCUUGUGUUCACAUAGUACUAGCAUGAUGACAUAGGCUGAGUAGGCACAAAGUUAUUGUUGAUUGAAUACACAUUCAUGAAUCAUUCUAGAGAGACUAUUUUCUAUUUAUUAAAAUCUGAAAACACCUUAAUAUUCAGUCUUAUUUCUAUCUUUUUUUACCUCUUAUAUUCUACAAUGGUAGCUUGAAGCAUUUUUGUAAUUUUCUAACUAAGAACUAAAUCAUUUAGUGUUUUCUUAUUACUUCACAUAAUUUACUGUGUAGAAUUCUGAGCUUUUUGUACAAAUCAGAGUUUAAAGUUUUCAGAUUCAUGGA
rnacentral:lncRNA from 1 species